rnacentral:tRNA from 1 species
GAAGAUGUAGCUCAGUGGUGAGGCACUUGCCUGGCAUGUAUGAAGCCCUGGGUUCCAUCCCCAGCAUCAUAA